rnacentral:lncRNA from 1 species
AUUUCUUUCUGCCCGGGCCCAUACAAAAUAAAAACACAGCAGGCCCAAUUACCAUUUACAACCUAACCCAAAAUUCAGCCCAAUACCUUUCAAUAGACCCAACCCAUUAGCCUAAAACACAUACACACAAAAAACCCUAGUAGCCUCCAGCCUUAGCCGCACAUCCCAACAGCAGCCUCACCCUCGCCGCCGCGAAUGUCGCAGCAUGACUCUCCCCUGCGCACGUUGCGCACACAUCUGCAGCAACAAACAUCAACUAAACAACAACGAGAAAGAAGGAAAUAGAAAAAAUAGCAGCGCAACAAUAAUAGGAAAUAAUGAUUUUGUUUGGAUUUUAUUUUUUCUUUAUUUCGGUUAUAUAAACCGGUCGAAAAUCUAUAAAUGGGGGGAGAGGAUACUGUAAAUUGGAGGAAAAACAGUGAAAUAAAAUCAAAAGAGGUGAAUUUCGACUUAGAUCUUUUAUUUCUUUGUUUGCUUUAUUUAUUUUCUGAUUUUUUGUAUAUUAAACAAAAAAUAAAAAAGGGAAUAUCACCUUCAAGGAUAUGCCGUUGAAACCCGAGCCUGCUUCACCUGAAUCGGGGCCGGAAUGGCCGGGAUUUGAAUCGGCCGGUGGGCUAAGAACGGCGGCGCAAGGAUGGGAUAAAAGAACCCUAGCAGAGCCACACUGUUUUUUUUAAAAGGGAACAAAUGAUUUUAUUU